ncrna:unclassified sequences skipping-rope RNA
GGGCUUUGAGGUGGAAAAAGCGUUCCCAUACGCCACACGCCUUCGGGUAGUGGGCAAAAGAGAUGCCGGGAGUGACGCUCCGGCCAAAGUCC